UACGUAGGGGGGCGAGCGUUGUCCGGAUUUAUUGGGCGUAAAGGGCGCGUAGGCGGCGUGACAAGUCACUUGUGAAAUCUCCGGGCUUAACUCGGAACGGUCAAGUGAUACUGUCGGACUAGAGUACAGAAGGGGCAACUGGAAUUCUCGGUGUAGCGGUGAAAUGCGUAGAUAUCGAGAGGAACACCUGCGGCGAAGGCGGGUUGCUGGGCUGAUACUGACGCUGAGGCGCGAAAGCCAGGGGAGCGAACGGGG
rnacentral:rRNA from 1 species